rnacentral:lncRNA from 1 species
UUUUUUUUUUUUUAAUGUAAGUUUUAGGGUACAUGUGCACAACGUGCAGGUUAGUUACAUAUGUAUACAUGUGCCAUGUUGGUGUGCUGCACCCACUAACUCGUCAUUUAACAUUAGGUAUAUCUCCUAAUGCUAUCCCUUCCCCCGAGUUUCACUUUUGUCACCCAGGCUGGAAUGCAGUGGUGCAAUCUUGGCUCACUGCCACCUCCACCUCCAGGGUUCAAAUGAUUCUCCUGCCUCAGCCUCCUGAAUAGCUGGGAUUAUAGGCAUGCACCACCACGCCCGGCUAAUUUUUGUAUUUUUAGUAGAAAUGGGGUUUCACAAUGUUGGCCAGACUGGUCUUGAACUCCUGACCUCAGGUGAUCCACCAGCCUCGGCCUCCCAAAGUGCUGGAAUUACAGGUGUGAGUCACCGUACCCGGCCACCAUCUUUGCUUCUUUAUCCACACCUUGCCUUGUUCUUCAGGGCUCUGCAGAGAUAUCAUUUCCUCCAAGAGUUUCCACAACUCCGACUUCACAAAGAUAGCACUUUUUUUUUUUUUUUUGAGACAGUCUCACUCUGUAGCCCAAGCUGGCGUGCAGUGGCACAAUCUCAGCUCACUGCAACCUUCGCCUCUGGGGCUCAAGCGAUUCUCCUUCCUCAGCCUCCCAAGUAGCUGGGACUAGAGGCGCGCGCCACCACACCCGGUUAAUUUUUUUUGCAUCUUUAGUAGAGGUAGGGUUUCAUCAUGUUGCCCUGGGUGGUCUCAAACUCCUGAGUUCAGGUGAUCCCCCCGCCUUGGCCUCUCAAAGUGCUAGGAUUACAGGCGUGAGCCACUGCGCCCAGCCAAGACAACACUUUCCUCAUCCCAAAGCACCUGUUAAUUCCCUGUAACAGCACUUGAACCCUGAUUCGGCAUGCAUGUCCAUUUUCCUGCCUCUACCGUGAACUCGUGUGAAUUGAUCUAUGUCAGAUUUAGUGGCUGCAUUCACAGCUCCCGCAACUAUAACGGGGUUCUCGGGAAAUAUAUAUCAAAUGAGUGAAUGUAUAUACGGGGCUGUGGCACAGCCUGCAACUUGAGACUUCUCACUAGGGGUCUUGAAAUGCUGUCUGGACACCACCAUCGCUUUCCUCCCUGAGAACUUCUACUUAUCAACCCAUUUAUAUACUCAUCGCAUGGGUCCUCACGCCCUCCCA